UACGAAGGGGGCUAGCGUUGCUCGGAAUCACUGGGCGUAAAGCGCACGUAGGCGGAUCUUUAAGUCAGGGGUGAAAUCCUGGAGCUCAACUCCAGAACUGCCUUUGAUACUGGGGAUCUCGAGUCCGGAAGAGGUGAGUGGAACUGCGAGUGUAGAGGUGAAAUUCGUAGAUAUUCGCAAGAACACCAGUGGCGAAGGCGGCUCACUGGCCCGGUACUGACGCUGAGGUGCGAAAGCGUGGGGAGCGAACAGG
rnacentral:rRNA from 1 species